rnacentral:Y_RNA from 1 species
GGCUGGCCCAAGUGCAGCGGGGUUUACAGCUAACUGAUGACAACCAGUUACAGAUUUCUUUGUUUCUACUCCAUUCCCACUGCUUCACUUGACUAGCCUUUA